GCUGGGUGUGAUAGGGCACACCUGUAAUCCUAGCUACUCGGGAGGCUGAGGCAGUGGGAUUGCAAGUUUGAGGCCAGCCUGGGCAACUUAGUGAGACCCUGUCUCAA
rnacentral:sRNA from 1 species